rnacentral:rRNA from 1 species
UACGUAGGGACCAAGCGUUGUUCGGAUUUACUGGGCGUAAAGGGCGCGUAGGCGGCUUAACAAGUCACUUGUGAAAUCUCCGGGCUUAACUCGGAACGGCCAAGUGAAACUGUUAUGCUAGAGUGCAGAAGGGGCAAUCGGAAUUCUUGGUGUAGCGGUGAAAUGCGCAGAUAUCAGGAGGAACACCGGUGGCGAAGGCGGGUCUCUGGGCCGAUACUGACGCUGAGGAGCGAAAGCGUGGGGAGCGAACAGG